UACGUAGGGUGCAAGCGUUGUCCGGAAUUAUUGGGCGUAAAGAGCUCGUAGGCGGUUUGUCGCGUCUGCUGUGAAAACUCGGGGCUUAACCCCGGGCCUGCAGUGGGUACGGGCAGACUAGAGUGCGGUAGGGGGGACUGGAAUUCCUGGUGUAGCGGUGAAAUGCGCAGAUAUCAGGAGGAACACCAAUGGCGAAGGCAGCACUCUGGGACGUGACUGACGCUGAGACGCGAAAGCGUGGGGAGCGAACAGG
rnacentral:rRNA from 1 species